UAAAUCGAAUUUUUUUUCUGAGAAAUCUCUUUCUCCAUCGUUAAAUCUUCGUGAUCGAGAUUUCUCAGAAAGAUGUCUUCGUGAUUGAAUCAUAAAUUUGCAAAGCAAACCCUAUUUUAUUGCUAAAAUUAGGUGGAAACCUAGGAUACAGAACGACCUUUAAUAUAUAUGUGCACACAACCUCGAAUCAUUGCUAUUUCACACGGUUGUACUGGAGUAGCAGCACGAGCCUGCGGCCUGGUGGGUCUAGAACCUACUAGGGUCGCAAAAAUCCUCAAAGAUCGGCCUUCAUAGUUUUGCGAUUGCCGAGCUGUGGAUGUUGUAAACGCGCUGCCCACUCCGCAUGGUGGAACCAUGGAGCUGCUAUACAUGCAGCUGUAUGCCCCAACAACAUUGGCUCCUGAUCGUGAUUUCUGGUUGCUGCACUAUAAUUCUGUGCUAGAGGAUGGUAGUCUUGUGGUCUGCGAGAGGUCGCUUAGCAGCACGCAGGGAGGUCCAAGCAUGCACCAAUACAGCAUUUUGUAAGAGCAGAAAUACUGUCAGGUGGGUACCUCAUAAGGCCCUGUGAUGGGGGUGGAUCAAUAAUACAGAUUGUUGAUCAUAUGGAUUUGGAGGUACAUGCAUUCACCUAUUGUUGAAUACCUAUAGCUGGUAGCCGAUCAAUGCGAACGACGAACCUUUUACAACACCCAAAUAACAUCAAACUUAAAUUCCUGAACCAGCCACCCAGUACCAGAGGUGUUGCGCCCACUGUAUGAAUCUUCAACUGUACUAGCUCAAAAGACUACAAUGGCGGCUUUACGCCAGCUGAGGCAGAUUUCCUUGGAGGUGUCUCAAUCAACUGUCACUGGUUGGGGUAGGAAGCCUGCAGCUCUACGUGCACUUAUUCAGAGGCAUAUAUAGCAGAGGUUUUAAUGAAGCUCCCAACGGCUUUACUGAUGAGGGAUGAUCAAUAAUGGGCUGUGUUGCAACGAUACGGAUACGGUAUCGGAUACAAGAUACCAAUACGCUACUAUGAUACACCAACUUGAAAAACUAAAAUACGGCGAUACGGCAUACUCAAUAUUGAUCAGUAGUUUAACAUAAAUAUAUUAUAUAUAAGAUAGAAACUUAACAAAAUACAUACAUGUGUUUGCAUGAUUAAAAUAUAAUUUGUAUGAUUAACCUCACUGAAGAGAGAAAAAGUCUGGACAACAAAGGAAGAAAGUCUAGAGCAAGAUCAGUGGACAGAUUCAGAACUAAUAUUUUGUCACUAUAGUUAAAACUUCUCAUAGAAUCUAGUAAAAUAUCUAAAUUUUCUAAUAUUUAGUCAAAGUUUUCCAACUGAGUUGUAUCUUGAAGUAUUGGGAGUAUUAGUACGCGUAUCCGUGUAAAUACGUAUCGAUACGGCUGAUUUUUUUUGUUUAGGCGUAUCGUUGUAACACAGAUAAUGGGAAAUGACGGGAUAGAUGAUGUCACCAUCCUCGCCAAUUCAUCUCGUGGAAAAUUGAUAGGGGGCAAAUAACUCUUUCAUCAACUGGAUUUCAGCUCUGAGUAAUGCAGUACUAUGGGCUAAGGCAUCCAUGCUUUUGCAGGGUGCCUGGCUUUUCUUUCGACCUGCACACAUGAUGAAUACUGGGGUUGUAGACAAUGCAUUUCGUUCUUUAGAUCUAGGCAAUUUUCAAGUAAUAGCUGGCCAUUAAUGAGUGUUGCUAUGUAGGGCGCAGGGUAUGAGAGAUGUAAAUAGUUGAAAUUUUAUGUGAACAACUUGAUUUCAUGAAUGAGAAUCUAUUAUGGGAUAAAAUGCAGUGUGAAUGAAUGUGUAACAGGGUAAAGGGAAAGGUAUCCUGCCAAAAGAACUAGAAAAGUAAAUAUUCAAACUUUCAAACUUUAGCAACGGUUUUACACACCAAAACAGCCUUUUUGUGGCUUUUAUAAACGUUGCGCAUAUUUUCU